AGAGCUGGGCGGGUUAAGGAGGAGGAUGGCGCCGUCCUGCAGAUGUGCGGGGACGCGCGCCCGCCGCAACGUGAGGCUCAUAGGCCACACGCAACUCUGAGCAUUGGCCAGGACCUGUAGUAGCCAACAGGACACUUAAUAACUGAUGUAUAGGUGCGCACUGUGUGUCCAGAGCUUUACGUUAACCACCUCACUGUGUCAUCUCGCUGAGGUUGUGUGGUUUACUAUUACUGCUAUUAGCGCAUUUUUAAGCGGGAAACCUGAGGCAUGAGGAGGGUCAGUCCUCGACCUUGUCCCCCCAAAUUGCUUCGUCUCUGAAUCCAGACUCUGAAGUUCGGCUCUGCCUACCACCUUAAGUUAUCCGAUGUGGCCUUACCGUCAGCCUAGUCUUUGACUACAGGAAGACCUCUCUUCCUGAAGAAGACGCCUCUUUUCAUCCAUUCACUCUGGAAAUGAUUCAACGUCUGCCUGCUGCUGAUGCUUUACUCUCCACCAGGGGUUUUCGAAGUGUGCUUCCCCAUUCCCCCUGGGCCUAUAGCAUCAGCAUCAGGGAACUUGUCAGUAACGCACAUUCUUGGGCCCCAACCCAGAACUACUGAAUCAGAAACUUGGGGUGAGGGCCUGUCGUGGUGGCUCAUGCCUGUAAUCCCAACACUUUGGGAAGCAGAGGAGGGUGGAUCACCUGAGGUCAGGAGUUGAGGACCAGCCUGGCUAACAUGGUGAAACCCCGUCUCUACUAAAAAUAGAAAAA